UACGGGGGGGGCAAGCGUUGUUCGGAAUUACUGGGCGUAAAGGGCUCGUAGGUGGCCAACUAAGUCAGACGUGAAAUCCCUCGGCUUAACCGGGGAACUGCAUCUGAUACUGGAUGGCUUGAGUUCGGGAGAGGGAUGUGGAAUUCCAGGUGUAGCGGUGAAAUGCGUAGAUAUCUGGAGGAACACCGGUGGCGAAGGCGGCAUCCUGGACCGACACUGACGCUGAGGUGCGAAAGCGUGGGGAGCAAACAGG
rnacentral:rRNA from 1 species